CAGUCGCCGCGGUAAUACGGAGGGUGCAAGCGUUAAUCGGAAUUACUGGGCGUAAAGCGCACGCAGGCGGUCUGACAAGUCAGAUGUGAAAUCCCCGGGCUUAACCUGGGAACUGCAUUUGAAACUGGCAGGCUAGAGUCUUGUAGAGGGGGGUAGAAUUCCAGGUGUAGCGGUGAAAUGCGUAGAGAUCUGGAGGAAUACCGGUGGCGAAGGCGGCCCCCUGGACAAAGACUGACGCUCAGGUGCGAAAGCGUGGGGAGCAAACAGGAUUAGAUACCCGAGUAGUCCCUGUCUCUUAUAU
rnacentral:rRNA from 1 species